rnacentral:rRNA from 1 species
AUUGAACGCUAGCGGGAUGCUUUACACAUGCAAGUCGAACGAGUGGCGGACGGGUGAGUAAUAUAUCGGAACGCGCCCAGUAGCGGGGGAUAACUACUGGAAACGGUAGCUAACACCGAAUACCAUCGGAGGUGCCCAGAUGGGAGUAGCUUGUGGGUGGGGUAACGUGUCACCAAGGCGACGAUCCCUAGCUGGUCUGAGAGGAUCACCAGCCACACUGGAACUGAGACACGGUCCAGCCUCCGACGUGUGGCAGCAGUGGGGACUAUUACACAAUGGGCGCAAGCCUGAUGCAGCCAUGCCGCGUGUAUGAAGAAGGCCUGCGGGUUGUAAAGUACUUUCAGCGGGGAGGCGUUACCCGCAGAAGAAGCACCGACUAACUCCGUGCCAGCAGCCGCGGUAAUUC